GCCAAGUUGCAAAGUGAGUAGCAGGAGGAGGAGCCGGCAUUUGGCGAAGAGAAAAAACGCCAUGGACUAACUGGACUUGAAUGGCGGGGACAGUGACAGGUUGGCCGACAAAUAAAUGACUAUCGUCUGUGUGUGUCAUCAUCAUCUCUGGGCAGCAGGUCACGAUGUAUGGGCUACGCAUAACGGCCGGUGCGGAUUCAAUUUCGCAUAGAUGGACGGAUGGAUGGAAAAGCUGGCGGAACGGUCUUUUCUUUUGCCCGCCGCCGCAACAAGGCCAAAGCUAUAAUAAUAGAUUUGCUGCCAAGUUCGACGGACCGGCGGUAUCGUCUUUUACGUAUAAACUCCACUGCACUAACCAAGCGGCUAUAUAGGGAAUGAGAAGGAGCCUCUACUACCGACAGCCCAGCAAGAGUAGAUACAGACAAUCUACUAGGGACGUGGACUGUGUAUGGACAGUGUGUGUGUGUGUCUCAAGGCAAAGCACUGCCGGAAGGAUUGCAAAAGUCUGCGGGACGAGCGCAGUUUUUAGUCGUCGAAGAUGGGGAGAGCCACGACAGAAAUGAAAAGGGAAGGAAGGAAGGAAACAAGUUGACGGUGACGUACUAGCGACGAGAGACCCUCUCCCUCUCUGGUGAUGGUGCAAGGAGGCCUUCACUUAUUAUACAGUCUAUAUGUAAAAGUUUCAGGUUUCGCCCUUCCUCUCCUUCUUUUUUUUUUUGCCUUCUUAGCCGUUUGCGCAGUUCUCCUUCAGUCCAUUUCCCACAUUCUUUUUCUUUUUCCUUCUUUACGUCUAUCUUCGUGAUGGAUGAACUCUCUUUACGUAGGGCUUUAUUGACGAUUAGCUUCCUCCACACGUGCUGUCCACACACACACAAAACACAAACGGUCCACUCUUUCCUCGCCAUGAGAGAGAGCAACCCCCCUCUCCGUUUAGUUAUGGCAGUAAACGACCGAAGGCCGAAAGACCUUGCCAACACACAUUUUUCAUAGCGUGUGUCUCUAUGUGUGUGGUUGACGACGUCACACACGUCUACCCGAAAAGGGUGCUGCAAUGACGUCAAUCACGAAGAAGACCUGCUGGCAACAACAACAAACGAACGAGGUAAUAGUACUGGGGCGUUAUAUAUCCGAUGGCCAACAACACGACCAGUCCCAACAGAGAGCGCCGGCGUUCAGGCGUGUCCAAACCGCUUCCUUUUUUUAUUUUGUUGACGUUGUUUGAUGUUCAACCUUUUAGAUCGAAUGGCUAAAUGGGAAUCCAACCAAAGAGCCGGUACAUUGGCGGCUGUGUGUUUGCCCGUCUAGGACAAGGCAACGCAAUGAAUAGGUCACUAGAAUUGGGCCCGGCAAAGUCGAGACCGUGUUGAAUAGGGUCGCAUUGUAUAUAUAUAGUUAGUUACACGGUAAGCAACAGUAGAUCACCAGUACAGAUACACACUUUCUCCCUCCCACUUUUUUUUUUUUUUUUUUUUCGCCAACGAACGUAGUGGUAGCAAGCGCCACGAGUAAUACAGAACAGACGUUUCUAUUCCGACAGCGAUAGCAGCUUUUUUUCGUUGUUUUUUUUCCUUCUUAAACGCCGAGAUAGUCCUAAAGCGGGGAAGGUUUUGGGCGGCAGCACUAUGUAUCCAUCGAGGCGUGCAACUUCAAGUGGAAUUCGAUAGAGUUUGGCGAGGUCACGUCAGCUACGAUCAACUGCGCACCAUCUUUCAGCUCCAGCUCUAAUAAAUAAAAACAAAAAAUCCAAAAUUAUACAUGAGAAAAUAGACUCUGGGCAAUAGAGAUAGGCUUGCGGGAAUUUUUUUUUGUUGUUGUAAGUCGUGAACUAAUCUCUGCUUUGCUGGCCAGCACAAAGUUCCUUUUGUCCCAAUUUUUAAAUUAUAAAUAUAUACGAAGUCAGCGGAGACGGUGGAUGACGACCAAGUGGAUAAUAAAACACGAGCGGAAUGAGCAAAGCGCCAAGAUGGAAGCGACUCGUGACGGCCGUUAAAACUAUUAGUGGCACCUUUGAGUGUUUUCUUGAGAUUAGGUCUCGUUCGCUCUUCGAUGCUGCUAACGUUGGGCAAGUAGAGCGUGCGGUUACGGCCCUGUUUGUCGGUGGUCGUCACGCCCGGUCCCUUCAUCUGGUAGGUCGUCGAUAGGUGUUCCAUCACUUCGCUCAGCCGUGUAUUUUCAUGGAAAACCAAAUCUUUGGGGAUCUGCGAGCAGGCCACGCAAUUCUCGUUCCUUUCCGCUGCGUACGUGUAAGUAUAAAUCCCUGUGGAUGUGCCGAGACAAAGGGAGUCAGAACCAGUGGCGACGGGUCACGAAACAAAAUAUGCCACCAGAAUUGCGGAAGAGAAUAGAAAAGAAUAAAUAUACAUACAAGAAAAAAAAAAAGAAGAGGGCAACACAGGCAGAGAGAAAAAAGCGUGACCAAGUGCGUAACGUGGCGUCCGCGAAUCGCUAGAACGGAACACAACACUUGACUAUAAAUAACGGUCGGCGUGCAACUGCUUUGAAAAUAAGGGGAAAGGGAGGCGCGAGAGAGAGAGAGAGAGAGAAAAUUUGCCGAAUGUCGCUCACCAUCGGUAUCGUUGAAAACCAUGUAGUUGUCCAAUUUAGGGGCGCAAGAUGAGGCCAACUUGAAAACUUCCAAAGCGCAAGCAGCGGCCACAACCGCAUUUGUUGACGCCACGGCGGGAAUGAUGUGCUUAACAACCCCUUGGGCCAAACGAUACGUGACUCCCAGAAUUCCUAAACAGAAA